rnacentral:rRNA from 1 species
GACGAACGCUGGCGGCGUGCUUAACACAUGCAAGUCGAACGGAAAGGCCCUGCUUUUGUGGGGUGCUCGAGUGGCGAACGGGUGAGUAACACGUGAGUAACCUGCCCUUGACUUUGGGAUAACUUCAGGAAACUGGGGCUAAUACCGGAUAGGAGCUCCUGCUGCAUUGUGGGGGUUGGAAAGUUUCGGCGGUUGGGGAUGGACUCGCGGCUUAUCAGCUUGUUGGUGGGGUAGUGGCUUACCAAGGCUUUGACGGGUAGCCGGCCUGAGAGGGUGACCGGCCACAUUGGGACUGCGAUACGGCCCAGACUCCUACGGGAGGCAGCAGUGGGGAAUAUUGCACAAUGGGCGGAAGCCUGAUGCAGCAACGCCGCGUGCGGGAUGACGGCCUUCGGGUUGUAAACCGCUUUCGCCUGUGACGAAGCGUGAGUGACGGUAAUGGGUAAAGAAGCACCGGCUAACUACGUG